UGGCUCAGAACGAACGCUGGCGGCGUGCUUAACACAUGCAAGUCGAACGCGAAAGGGACUUCGGUCCUGAGUAAAGUGGCGCACGGGUGAGUAACGCGUAGAUAACCUGUCUUCAUGUCUGGAAUAAUACGCCGAAAGGGGUACUAAUACCGGAUAUUCUUGCUUUUCAUAAGUUAUGCAAGCAAAGGUGGCCUCUGCAUAUGCUACUGCAUGAAGAGGGGUCUGCGUACCAUUAGCUAGUAGGUGGGGUAAUGGCCUACCUAGGCGACGAUGGUUAGCGGGUCUGAGAGGAUGAUCCGCCACACUGGCACUGGAACACGGGCCAGACUCCUACGGGAGGCAGCAGUGAGGAAUAUUGCGCAAUGGGGGAAACCCUGACGCAGCGACGCCGCGUGAGUGAGGAAGGCCUUCGGGUCGUAAAGCUCUGUCAAGAGGAAAGAAGUGUACAAUGGCUAAUACCUGUUGUAUUUGACGGUACCUCUAAAGGAAGCACCGGCUAACUCCGUGCCAGCCGCUGC
rnacentral:rRNA from 1 species